rnacentral:rRNA from 1 species
UACCAGCUCUCCGAGUGGUGGGGAUGCUUAUUGGGCCUAAAGCAUUCGUAGCCGGUUGGGCAAGUCCUCCGUUAAAUCCAGCGAUUCAAUCGUUGGACUGCAGAGGAUACUGUCCGGCUAGGGGGCGGAAGAGGCCGACGGUAUUCUCGGGGUAGGGGUGAAAUCCUAUAAUCCCGGGAAGACCACCAGUGGCGAAGGCUGUCGGCUAGAACGCGCCCGACGGUGAGGGAUGAAAGCUGGGGGAGCGAACCGGAUUAGAUACCCGGGUAGUCCCAGCUGUAAACGAUGCAGGCUAGGUGUUUGGGCGGCCACGUGCCGCUCUAGUGCCGCAGAGAAGUCGUUAAGCCUGCCGCCUGGGGAUACGGCCGCAAGGCUGAAACUUAAAGGAAUUGGCGGGGAGCACCACAAGGGGUGAAGCUUGCGGUUU